rnacentral:lncRNA from 1 species
AGGAAAUUGAAUCCUUUCUUUCUUCCCCCGCCCCCAUUGGAGGGGCACCGCCCCUCUAUGGAAAAUCCAGGGAACCUCAGCCAGGCAACUCUUCUUCCACCUCCCUAAAGCUGGCCCCAGACUUCCUGGUGUAAUUUUCUGAUUUCUCACUAUUUCUCCUACCAAAGUAUAAACAAAGGCAAAAUUCAAAUGAUGUUGUCACUGUUCCCUAAUAUAUCUGUAAUAUUGGAAUAAAUGAGUGUUUUCAAAGCAAGAAUGAUAGCAGAACUUACUUUGUGUAUUGGUUAACUGUUUAGAUCUUGGAUCCAGAAUCCUGAUCAAAGAAAUUGGAUACGAAAGAUUUUUUCCUCCAUUUAAUUGUUUCCAUUCUUAUACGAUGGCAUUAGCUUUACUUUUGCAGAUUUUUUUGCAACUUCCUCUAACCUUUCAUGUACUUUUAUUAAAGAUCUCUAUUUUAUCUUUGAUAAUUUCCUCUAUCCCUUGUUUGGUUGAAAAAUAUAUCUCCCAGGUGUAUAGAGUGCCAAAUCUGAAUCCAGGAUCUUUGUGAGUUCAAAUUUGGCCUCAGAUACUUACUAGUUAUAUGACCCUGGCCAAGUCAUUUAUCCUUGUUUGCCUCUCCUUCUGCUUCAGUAAAAUGAGCUGGAAAAGGAAACAGCAAGCCACUUCAGUGUCUUUGCCAAGAAAACCCCAAGAUGGGGCCAGAAAGAGUAGGACAUGACUGAAAAAGAUAUAGCAACAAUACCCAGACCUAUCACAGGACCUAGAAGCUUCAACAUUAAAGGACUAGAAGGCAUUGAAUAUACUCUUCUUCAAGAAUAUCAACACUAAUGAAGCAGAAAGACCCCUGAAGUACCAAAGAAUGUAAGUUAGCAUGCUGUGAACAUGUUUAAUAUAGGUUUUGUUAAGGUAUAAGCUAUUAACAUAACAUUUUAAUGGGACAAGUUCACCAACAAAAUUAAAGGACCAUCUAGCUUUGUUUUCCUGAAUAAUCAAAGAGUA